CAGGGAGAUGAGCGGGAACAAUAUAUUUGCAGAUGGGAAGUCAGAGUCCCGAGACUACUUUGGAGGUGUGAGGAAGCCACCAGGCGGUGAGAGCAGCAUCUCUUUGGUCUAAAAAACUCUGUGGCGGUUUGGUAAUAAAAUCAAAGCUUCUCAACGUUUAAUGUUCUUUUAGAACCUACUAGUUUCUUAGAUGGCCGAAAACGCUUUGAGCUUAAUCUUUGUAUGGAUUUGUUGUCUUUGGCUUUAACCGUUUGGAGUUUGUUAACGUAUUCUCUAUAUAACCUGAUCUUUAAUAGACGCUUGUUUCUGCUUCUUUCGGUCCUUGGCCGCUGCACAGCAAGAAGCUAGAAGAGGUAACAGAGACAUGGGAGAGCCUGCUCCAAGGAACCUUCGCACCUCUGUUAAAGUUUCCAAUGUAAGUAAUCUAUCAAUCAUUCUUGGCGUUGCUUCAAAGUGGUUUAGGAAUCAUGAGAUUUUGUUUGAACAGCCUGCGGGAGGACAGAGCAACAUUCUGUUUAGUGAAGAGCCUGAAGUGAAGACGUCGAAGAAGAUACAUGACCAGAAGUUUCAGGAGCUCACGGGGAAUGGUAUUUUCAAAGGAGAUGAGUCGCCUGGAACUGGGGACAAGCAGCUAAGCUCAGCUAAGCUCAGGGAGAUGAGCGGGAACAAUAUAUUUGCAGAUGGGAAGUCAGAGUCCCGAGACUACUUUGGAGGUGUGAGGAAGCCACCAGGCGGUGAGAGCAGCAUCUCUUUGGUCUAAAAAACUCUGUGGCGGUUUGGUAAUAAAAUCAAAGCUUCUCAACGUUUAAUGUUCUUUUAGAACCUACUAGUUUCUUAGAUGGCCGAAAACGCUUUGAGCUUAAUCUUUGUAUGGAUUUGUUGUCUUUGGCUUUAACCGUUUGGAGUUUGUUAACGUAUUCUCUAUAUAACCUGAUCUUUAAUAGACGCUUGUUUCUGCUUCUUUGCUUUCCUUAAUAGGAAAAAAGGAGUAUG
rnacentral:lncRNA from 1 species